GGGGAAGAACACAAUGACGGUACCUGACGAAUCAGCCUCGGCUAACUCCGUGCCAGCAGCCGCGGUAAGACGGAGGAGGCAAGCGUUAUCCGGAAUUAUCGGGCGUAAAGCGUCCGCAGGUGGCUUCUCAAGUCUGCUGUUAAAGCCCAUGNCUCAACUCUGGAGAAGCAGUGGAAACUGAGAGGCUUGAGUGCGGUAGGGGUAGAGGGAAUUCCCGGUGUANCGGUGAAAUGCGUAGAGAUCGGGAAGAACACCAGCGGCGAAAGCGCUCUACUGGACCGNNACUGACANUGAGGGACNAAAGCUAGGGGAGCG
rnacentral:rRNA from 1 species